AUCAACCAAAGCCAUAACGCGCCACAUACACAUACACACACAUAUACAAAUAUAUACAUACCUACCUACAUAUAUAUGUGUGCGUAUGCGUAUAUGUAUAUACCUAUGCAUGCAUAACGGCACAUGCGUACACCCAGACCCCACCCACCCAACCCACACACUUCCUCAGAAGGCAAAGGAGUCAGGCGGACCUGUUCUCUCUUCCCCCUUUCGACACAUCUUUGAGUUGGCGUGUGCGUGCGAUUUCGUCUGCGUCUGCCCCUUCGCGCAUAGUCUCAAGUGACGCAAAGGAGAAUUGGUGAGGAGUAGAAGGGAGGACCCGAAAAGACUGUCCAUCUUGCUAUUCCCGUCGCUUAUUUUGUAAAGCUGCUGCUGUAUACAUAUAUGUGUAUAUGCAUUUCCUGCGCCCUUAGUGUCGUUCCGUACCGUUGCUGCUGCUCACAUUCCUCGCUUUCUCGCACCCCUCCCCGCGCCUCCCCGUGUGAGAGGAGACACAGAGAGAAGCGAAGAACAGCGGAGGCUGUUUGUGUAUCCGCGACCUACUUCUCGUUUCGUGUCUCCUGCCACGAUCGGAGGGAAAAACAGGAUCAACGGUGCUCUCAUCAUCUCGGAGAUCGCGGAGGAGGAGCUGAGGAGAGGGAGAAGGUGCGAGCACCGGUGUGCGCCCCGUCAUCACCUUUUCCUUUCGCAGCAUUUCUUUUUUUUUUCGUUGGAUUUCGUGUGUUUGUCAGCGCUUCUAAGACGCGCCCUCCUCUCUUUCUCAUCCUCGAUCUCUCUGCGCGUGUGCAGGGCUGCAGGCACGCACACGUCCUAUCGACAUUGGUAGAUAAAAGCACUCGUUUUUGCGCAACGCGACACGCGACAUGCUCCGAACAUCGGUGAUGCGUGCUCUCGGCAGGCCAGGCUUGCCUAGAAUUGCUGCUAGCGUCGGUGGCACAGCUUGCAUUCCCAUGGCUGCGCUGUUCCGUCGCCCUGCCACGCCGACCGCAGCGUCUGCCACGUCAGCGCUGUGGUGCACUCGGUGCUUUGAAAGCUCCAGUGCGGAGUCGCCGCCAAAGGAUGCUGAUGCGGGCGAGAAAACGAGGCCGACUGAGGAGCCGCGUGUUGAAGCGACCCUGAUGCCGUCGGAGACUGCCGCAGCGCCGGCUGCCGCUGCCACUCCCGCACCUGCCGCCCCUAUAAAGAGCAAGGGGGUCGACUACGCCCGCCUCUACGCGCAUCACCCGAUCGACUAUGAGCGCUCCACUUCGCAGUCCCCCAACAUACUGCGGUUUCCUGCGAACACGUCUGACCCGACAUUCCAGGAGAACAUGGCGCGCAUGGAGGGUUUCGUGGAGCAGCUGCGCGCGCGCGUGCGGUACGUGCAAGCCGGAGGCGUUGUGUCGGCGGAGGAGGCUGCCAAGGCCGGCGUCUCUAUUUCGUCCCUCGAGGCGGACGACCGGGUCCGCAAGCUGCACCUGAGCCGCGGCAAGAUGCUCGCGCGCGAGCGCAUCGAGCGGCUUAUCGACCCCGGCACCCGCUUCCUCGAGCUCUCGCAGCUGGCUGGGUGGGACUUGUACUGGGAUGACAAGAAGAAGGAGUACGAGCGGUGCUACAGUGGUGGCAUUGUGACGGGCGUCGGCAUCGUGAACGGCGUUCGAUGCAUGCUCGUCGCGAACGACGCAACGGUGAAGGGCGGAACAUACUACCCGAUCACCGUGAAGAAGCACCUGCGCGCGCAGAAGAUUGCGGAGCAGAACCACUUGCCUUGCAUCUAUCUCGUCGACAGCGGCGGCGCCAACCUCAGCCGCCAGGACGACGUCUUCCCUGAUGAGCAGCACUUUGGCCAUAUAUUUUUCAACGAGGCGCGAAUGUCCACCAAGUCCAUCUCGCAGAUUGCGGUGGUGAUGGGCAGCUGCACGGCGGGUGGCGCCUACGUGCCGGCCAUGGCAGAUGAGAGCAUCAUCGUGGCCCGCAACGGCACCAUCUUCCUCGGCGGUCCGCCGCUUGUCUUCGCGGCCACCGGAGAAAAGGUAUCGUCAGAGGAUCUCGGCGGCGCAGACGUGCACUGCCGCAUCAGCGGCGUGGCGGAUCACUACGCGACUGACGACCUGCACGCCUUGUACCUCGCUCGCCGCGCCGUGGCAAACUUGAACUUGAAGGAGCACAACGAAGCGCGAAACCCAACCGAUGUGAAGCCGGUGCCGCCGCUGUACGACCCGAGGGAGCUGGGCGGCUUUAUCCCGGAUAUGCUGUCGGACGUCGUCAAGAGCUUCGACGUGCGGGCCAUCAUUGCGCGCAUCGUCGACGGCAGCCGCUUCGAUGAGUUCAAGGCGCUAUACGGCAGCACGCUUGUGUGCGGCUUCGCAAGGGUUGAGGGGAUGCAGGUAGGCAUUAUCGCGAACCAGGGCAUCCUCUAUUCGGAGUCCGCCCUGAAGGGGGCGCACUUUAUCGGUCUGUGCACGCAGCGCAAGGUGCCGCUGCUCUUCCUUCAGAACAUCACCGGCUUCAUGGUGGGCAAAAAGUACGAGGAGGGCGGCAUCGCUCGCAACGGUGCUCGGCUCGUGAUGGCAGUCUCCACAGCACCGGUGCCGAAGAUCACGGUGCUCAUAGGCGGCAGCUAUGGCGCCGGCAACUACGGCAUGUGCGGGCGCGCCUUCGAGCCGCGCUUCCUCUUCAUGUGGCCAAACGCGCGCAUCAGCGUGAUGGGCGGGACGCAGGCCGCUACGGUGCUUGCCUUAACGAACCGUAACUUGAAGAAUGCCUCGGAGGCCGAGGUUGCUGCGUUCAAGGACAAGGUGAAGAGGAAGUACGAGAGGGAGGGUUCGUGCUACUACAGCACCGCGCGCCUCUGGGACGACGGCGUGAUCGCUCCGGAGGACACGCGUGUCGUUGUGGCAGAAGCACUGCGCGCGACGCGGCUGGCACCGAUGGUAAAAAAAAUAGAGUGACGUGCCUAUGAGAGUUUUUGGUGCGCGUGCUCUUGUGAGAGAGUGUGCUGUGCGAAAAAAAAAACCUGUAACAGCCUCCACGCAUGCCCUUCUUCUUUCGCGCUCUCCGUCCUUCUCUCUCCCUUCGUGCGAUGGGGCGCAUGCAUGCUCGCGCCGUCUGUGCUGUACUCGGGUUAGGCGUGUUUUCUGAUGUGCUUUUCGGUGCCCACUCCUUUAUUUCACGGAGUCAGAUCGGGCGUGGGCGUUGCUGGGAAGGUCGAUGGCAUGGAGCUCGUCAUCCUCGUCCCUAUCUCGACUCCGCCGCUGCGCCACGUCUGCCCUCCUGCGAAUGCUGGGAGUGGCGGCUGAGGGGAGGAGACGGGGUCGUGAGGCGAUGUGGAAAG
rnacentral:misc_RNA from 1 species